UGGCCCACCAUGCCGAGGUAUGGAAGUCGCUGAGUCCUAUCGUGGCACGAAAAGUGUGGGUGAGAACCCUGUUUCCUGCUUGACCUGGGCGUGGUCCACCAUUUCGGGAGCUGGGGGCAGGUGCAUGGUUACUUGCGCCAUGCAUGACGUGUCGCCUUCUCGCCGUGCUCCCCCACGGUCCCAGUGACGCGACACCACCCGAUUCGAUCUGCCACGCGGGCUUCACCUCUUACGAGGCGGGACCCUACGGACGCCUUGAACUCGACCAGACAGACAACUCCAACUAUCGCCAAACGAAAUCAUCCACGUCAGCUAAUGUCAGUGACUAGGAAACUGAAAACUGCGGGUGGGUGCUCCAACGCACACACCACAUCAACCCAGCCGCGGGGCCCGCGCUGCUGCUGCCGCCGCAGCUCCGUGCCUCGUGUGGGAACGGCUCCCCCCACCGCCCACAACCAAAAAACCCCACGGUCUACAACGAUGACGUCACCGCCACAGGUGAAAGCCGUCGGAUACUUUGGUGGGCGGGCCCCGCGACGGCAUUCUUUUCUGAGGUUUCGAUUAAUGAUUAUUUUUCCCUCCACCCAUUCAUUCACCGUCGUCACGACUCGACCCACGAAUCCUCGUCUUCGCUCCCAACGGUGCAAAUAUAUGCGUCCCAAUUAAUGGCCCGCGCCUCCGUCCCCUCCGAGUCGCGGUCAAAAAGAGACGCCAAAGCCAGCAGACCGAGCAGCGGGACCGCGUCCGCGUUGCGAGAAUCAAAUCCCACCGUUGGCUCGUGGCGUCGCACGAAAGCUGAUGCACGCGCAGCCUUAUCUGCGCUCCGCCUCCGACCGACAUGGCCCAACGAAAGCGACGGUUGAGGGCAAACUUGGCACGGAAGGCAACCGAGUCGACUCGGCAAACCUGAGCGAUUGAUGGCGCUGCUGGAAGACAAACGCAUAGUGGAGAGGCGGGUCUAAUACCGCGGGAAGUUGUCGUCGCUUAGCUACCACGAAGUUGACAAGCGCGACCGGGAAGAAGAGAAGGGAGUGUGGACGGAAGUCAAUCACGCAUUCGGGCAGAUUAAAGACGCACGGCAAGUGUUCGAUCGAUGUUCCGUGAGAAGCAUGCGAUAAUAAUGCUGACCGGCUUGGCUGCAUGAAUUGGAUCGUGUGAUCAGCAUCCAAAGCAACAAAUGAACUUACGGACAUCUCCACCACUGUUUACGGACUUGCGACGGUUCUUUGCUCAUCAUGUUAUUAUCGUUGUUAUGAUCAUGAGUUGGAUCAUUGCUAGUCCUUUCGACAGCAUGCAUGAUUGACAGCCACACGGUCGCGAAUCCGAAGCUGUGGAGAAGAAGAGAGUGGAAGAGAACAAGUGAAAGCAACACCCACCGGCCUCCUCAAGCCUCAGACUCCGAGUUAGUAGUGGGCGGAGGGAGCCAUAGUUAUUAUUACAGGUGAAGAAAAGGAGGGCUUGCAAGCAGCGUUAAUGGCUGCUGUUGUGAAUCAUAACAUCACUAAAAAGGAGGUUUGAUAGGAUGAGCGUCGGUGAUGAUUAGAUAACGCUAUCAUUACAGUUCAAGUUUGCAUUGCAUGCCCAAUAAUAGUACUGGAACUCUCUUUUGAUUGUUGAGGA